rnacentral:rRNA from 1 species
AACGAACGCUGGCGGCAGGCCUAACACAUGCAAGUCGAGCGACCUUUCGGGGGAGCGGCGGACGGGUGAGUAACGCGUGGGAAUAUGCCCUUCUCUACGGAAUAGCCUCGGGAAACUGAGAGUAAUACCGUAUACGCCCUGUGGGGGAAAGAUUUAUCGGGAAAGGAUUAGCCCGCGUUGGAUUAGGUAGUUGGUGGGGUAAUGGCCUACCAAGCCGACGAUCUAUAGCUGGUUUGAGAGGAUGAUCAGCCACACUGGGACUGAGACACGGCCCAGACUCCUACGGGAGGCAGCAGUGGGGAAUCGUAGACAAUGGGGGCAACCCUGAUCUAGCCAUGCCGCGUGAGUGAUGAAGGCCUUAGGGUUGUAAAGCUCUUUCAGCUGGGAAGAUAAUGACGGUACCAGCAGAAGAAGCCCCGGCUAACUCCGUG